rnacentral:rRNA from 1 species
AUGCUCUGCUGCCCCUGCAUCAGCCUCCCCUGGAUCGCCCUUGGAGAUUUCAAUCUCAUAUAUGAAGCUAGGGACAAAAAUAACCUAAACCUGAACCGACGCCUCAUGGGAAAAUUCAGAGCUGCCCUCAAUAGAGCCGAGCUGUUCGAAAUUAGAUGUAAGAACAUAAAAUUCACUUGGAGCAGCGAACAACAAUCCCCCAUGCUCGUGGCCCUUGAUCGUGUGUUCUGCAACUCGGUUGGGACAACCUCUUCCCCCAACACUUGCUGCAGGCUGCCUCAACCUCGGUCUCUGACCGUUACCCCUUGGUCUUGUCCAAUGCAUGCGCCCCUGCUGCGCACCGCUGGCACUCUGAAGAAGUGGAGUAAAGGUCUUUUUAGUGAUGCUAAGUUGCAAUUCCACAUGGCCCACGAGAUAAUACUACGCCUAGAUACCGCCCAGGAGAGUAGAGCCCUUUCUGAUGCAAAGUGGGAGCUGCGGAAGAAGCUCAAACUCCGGCUGCUAGGUUUAGCUGCGAUAGAAUGGGCUAGAAAGAAACAAACCUCCCGCAUAAAUUGGCUGAGGGCGGGGGACUCCAGCACUGACUUCUUCCAUGCUAAGAUCAAUGCGAGAAGACGAAAGAACUUCAUUCUAUCGCUCAAAAGAGGCAAUUGCAGAGUGACCAACCAUAAGGAUAAAGAGGAGGUGAUCACUGACCAUUUCCGCGGACAUCAUGGGACAAAGGCUUACAUGCACUUGCACGAUCAACUGGGAGGCGAUCAACUUGCCGCAAUUGUGCUCGCCCCCAAGCUGGCCGAGGCCUCUGAAAUUGGGCAGUUUCGUCCAAUUUAUGAGUUUCGCAGCCUCUGGAGACUGGUCCGGAAUGCGGAGACAAACCUCACUAGUGGCAUUGCGGAUGCGAUCACCUGGAAGACAACCACUUCAGGCGCCUACUCUGUUGCCAUUGCUUACAAGAUGCAAUUUGCAGGCUGGGUGGACUCCCCAUUCCCAGACAUGUUCUGGCGGGCAUGCCCCCCUCGCUGCGCCUCCCUAAACCCUGCGGGAUGGCAGAAGGCGAAUAAUCCCAAAGACAUCUGGCUAUCAAUUAUUUCCAAGACGGCGGCUGAACAAAAGAAGGGCAUCAAGUCAAUGCUGAUCCUGGUAUCAUGGAGGAUAUGGAUGGAGCGGAACAACAGAAUUUUCAACAACAAAAUCUCAGCAGCGGGAACCACGCUACGGGAAACCCUUUGGAUAUGUGGAGGCUGGGAGGUGCUGGCUGCUUGCUGUCGCCCUUCGGGGAUCCAGGCUAAGAGACCUCCCCUUUCCUUCUUUUUCCCCUCUUCUUAG